UACAGAAGGUGCGAGCGUUAAUCGGAAUUACUGGGCGUAAAGCGCGCGUAGGCGGCUUUGCAAGUCGGGUGUGCAAUCCCCAGGCUUAACCUGGGAACUGCAUUCGAGACUGCAUUGCUAGAGUAUGGGAGAGGGAAGUGGAAUUUCCGGUGUAGCGGUGAAAUGCGUAGAUAUCGGAAGGAACAUCAGUGGCGAAAGCGGCUCACUGGACCGGUACUGACGCUGAGGCGCGAAAGCGUGGGGAGCAAACAGG
rnacentral:rRNA from 1 species